rnacentral:rRNA from 1 species
CCUACGGGUGGCAGCAGUGAGGAAUAUUGGUCAAUGGGAGAGAUCCUGAACCAGCCAAGCCGCGUGAGGGAAGACGGCCCUAUGGGUUGUAAACCUCUUUUGUCGGAGAACAAAACCCGGGACGUGUCCCGGACUGCGUGUAUCCGAAGAAAAAGCAUCGGCUAACUCCGUGCCAGCAGCCGCGGUAAUACGGAGGAUGCGAGCGUUAUCCGGAUUUAUUGGGUUUAAAGGGUGCGUAGGUGGUCCGUUAAGUCAGCGGGAAAAGUGCGGGGCUCAACCCCGUGUAGCCGUUGAAACUGGCAGUCUUGAGUUGGCGAGAGGUACGCGGAAUGCGCGGUGUAGCGGUGAAAUGCAUAGAUAUCGCGCAGAACUCCGAUUGCGAAGGCAGCGUGCCGGCGCCAGACUGACGCUGAGGCACGAAAGCGUGGGGAUCGAACAGGAUUAGAUACCCUAGUAGUC